AACGAACGCUGGCGGCGUGCUUAAGACAUGCAAGUCGAGCGAGAAAGCCACCUUCGGGUGGUGAGUAAAGCGGCGCACGGGUGAGUAACGCGUGGAUAAUCUACCUGUAGGUCUGGGAUAACUCCGGGAAACUGGGGCUAAUACCGGAUAAGACCACGGGGUCCUCGGAUCUUGCGGAAAAAGGUGGCCUCUUCUUGAAAGCUACCGCCUAUCGAUGAGUCCGCGUCCCAUUAGCUUGUUGGUGAGGUAAAGGCUCACCAAGGCUUCGAUGGGUAGCUGGUCUGAGAGGAUGAUCAGCCACACUGGAACUGAGACACGGUCCAGACUCCUGCGGGAGGCAGCAGUCGGGAAUUUUGGGCAAUGGGGGAAACCCUGACCCAGCAACGCCGCGUGAGGGAUGAAGGCCCUCGGGUCGUAAACCUCUGUCGGAAGGGAAGAAAGGUCUCCGUUCGAAUAAAGCGGGGGCUUGACGGUACCUUCAAAGGAAGCACCGGCUAACUCCGUG
rnacentral:rRNA from 1 species